rnacentral:rRNA from 1 species
GAUCAUGGCUCAGGACGAACGCUGGCGGCGUGCUUAACACAUGCAAGUCGAACGAGAAUCUGCUGAAGGAGGAUUCGUCCAACGGAAGUAGAGGAAAGUGGCGGACGGGUGAGUAACGCGUGAGGAACCUGCCUUGAAGAGGGGGACAACAGUUGGAAACUACUGCUAAUACCGCAUGAUGCAUAGAUGUCGCAUGAUUCUUUAUGACCAAAGUAUUUAUCGCUUCAAGA